CUUCGUACAAACAGAGGUUUUAUUGCGUUUGGUCCACAGUCGUAUUUCACAUUAUCUCACGGAGCAGGUCCCCUGGGUGGGGGGUCCCUGUGCAGUACUUGGCGGGGCAUGUGGCCGGGGAAGAUGGAGCAGUAUAAGCUGGUCGGGCCCAGAAGGGAGGAGGGCUGGGGGCUCCUUAAAACCUACUGAGGGGCUGGGCACGGUGGCUCACACCUGUAAUCUCAGCGCUUGGGGAGGCGGAGGCGGGCGGAUCACACCUGAGGCCAGGAGUUCGAGACCAGCCUGGCCAACAUGGGGAAACCCCAUCUCUACUAAAAAUACAAAAAUUAGCCGGGCGU
rnacentral:lncRNA from 10 species